rnacentral:lncRNA from 1 species
AUUAAGUCGAUAUUCUGCUGAUCUAUAAUCACAACAUCAUUUACCGAGAAUAAAUUAAAAGAUUGAUUAUGAGAAGGGCGUGAAAUAUUCGCUGUGUCCAAGAACGCAAAUCGCCGUACACUAUGUCACAAAUGACAAAUGUUUGCGAGUAAAACACCUUGGAUUUAUUUUAUUUAUACAAUGACUUUCAAGAAAUUUGGACUGUGAAGGAAACCCAAAAGCGUCAGAAUCGUGGAACACAUUUGACUGGAAUAAAGAAAUUAACACAAGCAUGAACUUUUUAGAUUAAUGACCGUAUAUUGAGUUCAGAAAAUCGACAAACAUACACAUUUUUAAUUAAUUAAUUUACAGCAAGCUCUUAGAAAUUAAUUUAUCCAUGCCUUUCGUUUUUUUUGUAAAAAAAACCCAGCAAACAUCCUCUGUCCCAAUACCCACGAUAGAGACAUUAAACAACU